UACGUAGGUGGCAAGCGUUGUCCGGAUUUACUGGGCGUAAAGAGCGCGCAGGCGGUCGGAUCAGUCGAAUGUGAAAGCCCCGGCUCAACUGGGGAGGUCAUUCGAUACUGUCCGACUCGAAGGCAGGAGAGGGAAGCGGAAUUCCCGGUGUAGUGGUGAAAUGCGUAGAUAUCGGGAGGAACACCAGUGGCGAAGGCGGCUUUCUGGCUGUUCUUGACGCUGAGGCGCGAGAGCUAGGGGAGCGAACAGG
rnacentral:rRNA from 1 species